GGUUGAUGGGGUCAUUUGAGUUUAUGUUAAGGGCCCAUAGCUCAGGCGGUUAGAGUGCGCCCCUGAUAAGGGUGAGGUCGGUAGUUCGAAUCUACCUGGGCCCACCAUUCAAUCAGGCAAGGGGCCGUAGCUCAGCUGGGAGAGCGCCUGCUUUGCAAGCAGGAUGUCAGCGGUUCGAUCCCGCUCGGCUCCACCAAUUGCGAAUUUAUAGUUUUUUUGUUCUAGGGGAUUUUUUUUUAGAGCAAUAGUUUUUUGAAAAUUGAAUAGAAGGUAGAUUUUUUUGUAUUUUUCAUAUUGGCAUUGUAUGCGAUAUGGGAGGUACCGACGUUGUAUAACCGCACGUUGAAGAUUUAUCUCAGGAAAUUGGUCUAUUGAAAGAGCAUAAUUUAUUUAUGUUUUUUUAAUUAAGAAACGUUUGUAAUGAACUUUAUGACGUAUUGACAAUGAGAGUGAU
rnacentral:tRNA from 1 species